rnacentral:rRNA from 1 species
AACGAACGCUGGCGGCAGGCCUAACACAUGCAAGUCGAACGCACCGCAAGGUGAGUGGCAGACGGGUGAGUAACACGUGGGAACAUGCCCUUCGGUUCGGAAUAACUCAGGGAAACUUGAGCUAAUACCGGAUACGUCCGCGAGGAGAAAGAUUCAUCGCCGAAGGAUUGGCCCGCGUCUGAUUAGCUAGUUGGUGAGGUAACGGCUCACCAAGGCGACGAUCAGUAGCUGGUCUGAGAGGAUGAUCAGCCACAUUGGGACUGAGACACGGCCCAAACUCCUACGGGAGGCAGCAGUGGGGAAUAUUGGACAAUGGGCGAAAGCCUGAUCCAGCCAUGCCGCGUGAGUGAUGAAGGCCCUAGGGUUGUAAAGCUCUUUUACCUGGGAAGAUAAUGACGGUACCAGGAGAAUAAGCCCCGGCUAACUUCGUGCCAGCAGCCGCGGUAAUACGAAGGGGGCUAGCGUUGUUCGGAAUCACUGGGCGUAAAGAGCACGUAGGCGGAUCUUUAAGUCAGGGGUGAAAUCCCGAGGCUCAACCUCGGAACUGCCUUUGAUACUGG